rnacentral:rRNA from 1 species
GACGAACCGUGCGAACGUUGUUCGGAAUCACUGGGCUUAAAGGGCGCGUAGGCGGACGCAUCAGUCAGGGGUGAAAGCCCACGGCUCAACCGUGGAAGUGCCUUUGAUACGGUGUGUCUUGAGGGAGGUAGGGGCGUGCGGAACUUCCGGUGGAGCGGUGAAAUGCGUAGAUAUCGGAAGGAACACCGGUGGCGAAAGCGGCGCGCUGGACCUCUGCUGACGCUGAGGCGCGAAAGCCAGGGGAGCAAACGGG